UUUUGAGGUCAAACUUAAUUACUUCUGUUGCUGUUUAUGCAACUUCAAUGCACAAGUUGUUAAGGUUCACCAGACAUGAAUUUGGAUCAAGGGAUAUUUAGUUAUUGAUUCGUUAGAGGAAAAAACAUAAAAAGUUUAAAAAGCAAAGUUUUUAGAUAAAAGGAUGUUAUAUCUAGGCAUAAAUAAUGAAAAUAGUAAUACUCCUAUUAGUUUCCAAUGAGGUUUACUGAUAAAUGUAUGUAGCUAUACCCUGAGACGAGUUCGUAUUCGAGGAGAUCCUUUGGUUCGUCUCCCGAUCCGGAUCGGGUAACAGGAACCGUUUGUUUAACAUUUUGGAUUUUCAGAAAUCCUUCCAUGCAAUUUACAGGAAUAAUGUAGAGAGUUUUGGUGAAUCUCGGCCGUUACUUGGUGGAUCUACUGAAAAAUUAGUGUGUUAAAAGAUUAGAAAAUUUGUGAUCUUGCAAAAGGAGAAGGCAAAAAGAAGGACUUCGAGGACUUAGUCAUCCCGAGUUGUUUUGGUGAUGGAUGCCAGAUUGUAAAGAUUGUCUGUUAGUCUUUUCUGAAUUUCACAUUAUAUUCUCUUAAAUGUUCAGAAAAAGUUUGUAAAAGUACUCAGUAAUUAAUAUACUACUCCUCAUGAAAUGAAAGAUUUUUAUUUCUUAUCUUUUAGUGAUGGAAAUUAAUAAAUGAGAUUUGGCUUUUGAUUUGAUGAUCGCGAGCUUCAGAGAGAAAAAUGGAAAAUAGCUUGAAUAUUCUUAAGUUUUCUCUAGAUGUAAAUGUAUCACACGUCCUACUCUAGCUAAUACAAAGAAUUGGAACGUCAUUUCUGACUCACCUUAUGUAGAUUGAUUAAAUCUCUGAAAUGUAUCGAAAGAGAGUCCUACUAAAACUUUGAGUUUCUUACUUUAUUCUUUAAUGCAUAGAGAUUUGGAAGGUAAAAAGGUUGUGUUGUAUUCGACAUUUGAAGAUAUUUUUUGGAAAUGUUUUUGGAGAAAAUUUCUGAAAAAACUUUUUUGUUUGGAUGAUUGUUAUUUCAAAAGUAAUUCUGAAAAAACUAACCGUGUUUGACUGGAUGUUUAUGAGAGAGCAGAAAAACAAAAAUGCGACCUAUCAUUUUAAUGAACUUUCAAUCAAACCUUUAAUAUGAAGAGAAACCUUACCCGAUCAUGUGAUUAUUCAUAAUCUCUCAUUAGUUUUAGUCUCCCAUGCCACACUGGUGCAAUUUUUGGCAUGGAACUUGAAUUAGCAUCCUUUACUUACCUACUGCAUCAGAUUUUCUUUAACCAUAAUGUGUUCCAAAUCGGAGUUCCCUUUCCACUAUUCCAUUAAAAUAUUGUUGCUGCUGAUAUGUUUUAUGUAGGACAAGAGACAGCAAAUCAAGCACCAGAUAAUUUGAAAGAAGUUCUCGAUUAUUUGGAUCUGAGGAGAAAAGAGAGCUCCAAUAUAGGCUAAUAGGUUGAAGGCAUUGCUAAGGGCUGUUUCUCUACUGCUCUUAUCAAGUCUACUUGAUUGUUUCUACAUAAAGCUCGACAAAGAUUGGUAAGUUGUUAUUAUAGCGUAGCUUACUUUCUGUAGCAGAUUUUUCUGGAUUUGCUUAUGCAUGCGACCAUUUGUGCAAUUUCUAUGUAACUUGAUGAAAAUAUUUUCAUGCGAAAAACUCAACUUUUAUAUAUAUUGACCAGUAGAAACGUCUAAUCGCGUGAGUCUAUCUUUGUAUCUUUUUCAAUUUUGUUGGAAUAGUUGACUUCAUUUCUUUGUAAUAACUAAUUUUUGUAUAAUCUAUUUAACAAUAACGAGAGGAUGGUCAUGUAUCGUUUGUCAGAUUAAGAAUCUGUCCUCCUUCUGGACAAAAUAAACGGAUGAUCUGUCCAUUUCUGCCUACUUAUGUUGCUUCUGUUGGAAAAAUGCUCAACUGUCCUAAUACUUGGUUGAAUUUUAACUAAAAGUACAAAUUGUCGAGUUCAAGUGCUCUUCACGAUGCUUAGAUUUGUAGUUCCAAUGUAUUUCUUAGGACUACUUAACAAGUAACAUAAGAGGAGCAAACUUGAAUUGUCCGAAGCUAAAUGUUGGUCUCCUUCAAGUUGUCAUGUCCAUGGACCUCAUGUCAUCCCCUCCAUUCCUUUAAUAUAUUGUCUGCAUUUCAUGUUUAUUUCAUCUUAUAGUAGAAAAAUUGGUAAAUGCAGAGACACUUCUUUCGAUAGGUGGACACUACUCUGGAAUUAGUUGAAGCCUAGAUGAACUGUCUACUAAUUGUGAAAUGAAUUCUGAGCUCUGAUUGUAAAAUUCAAUAGGAAACUCAAGAAGUGUUACUACAAAGUGAAUCUACAUCCUUCGUGUUAGUUUCAAGUAUUGUAUUGAACAUUAUACUUAUCGCGGACUUUUUCAAUGACAAUCAUUAGAUUUUUCUAAAUAUUGAAAGUAUGUGGUAUCAUUGUUUGUAUUAUAGACGUUCUUACUUUUCAG